rnacentral:lncRNA from 1 species
CUACUACAUACAUCCACCAAUUCUUAAAGUCUACUCAAAUAGCUUUUACGACAUAAAUCAUUAAAUAUUUAGGCAAAGAAUUACUAGCCAAGGGUUCAUAUAUAAAAGAAUAUAUAUAUUACUAUUAGGUAGGAAAGAAUUCAAACAGUUGCCCAACUUACAUCAUCAAACAUAACCUCGAACAGCUAUUUGACGUCAUUGGGCUUUCCUUAAUAUUUAUUUUUUUUGCAAUCAAAGUUCGUCAAAUCAUAUAAUUACGCAAUAUUUAUGAAUUUAAGAUCAUUUAAUCACUCAUUAGCCAUUUCUAAGUCCUUUCCGAAAAAUAAUGAAAGGAUCAAUUAAUUAUACAUAGUUGUAAAAUGCAUUAAGAAAUUUUGCAUAGCAAUAUAUAAGCUAUCUAUUUAUUUUGACCUUGAGGAAGGUCGGCCGUUUAUUUAAUCCUAUGUAAUUGAUUUAUAAAAUAUUACUAUAACAAACAAAAUUUAUCUCAUGUUAGGGACUGCCUAUUUUCAUUUGAUUAUGAAGAAUGAUUAUUGAUGAUUACAAUUGUAUCCUCCAAUGUUAUAUACAAAUAAUAUGAUUGUUUAUUUUAUCACUUGAUAUAAAAAGACUACGUUGCCCUAAAGAGGGGAUUGUAAAUUUGAACCAGAAGUCCACCAAAGAUAUUAUGAUUUCAAAAUAUUAAUCAAAAUAUAGUCAUCCUAUGGACUAUGAUUUCUUCCGCAUAAUGUCAUCUUUAGCUAAAAUUCUAUGAUGACUAAUAAGUAAUAAAAGAACAUUUCUUAUUGCAGGUGUCAAGAAUUAAAAAAUAUUCUAUUUUGAAAAUAUGGUUUUGCUUAAUAUUUUUUUUCCUCUUUAACAUUACAUAAUCAUGAAAAGUCCACAUAUGAAGGGAUCCAGACCAAGCCCACCAGAUAGUAAACCAGUAUUACUAGAAGAACAAUGAACAGAAACAAGUUAUCUAAUAUAAGUAAACUUCAGAAUAUUCAUUUGAAUGAUUAAUUAAUUUGUUUAUUAUUACUUAAGAUAUAAAAUUUGUUAAUAGUCGAUGCUAAUGUCAUGAGAAUUGAUUACUGACCAAAUAAAAAAAUACAUUUUGUUUACGAUCUACCUGAUAACAGCAAUGAAAUCGUUAAAAUAUAAAAAUUCGUAACUUGA